UUUUUACAAAGUAGUUACUUCUUCUUACACCACUACAUAACCUAGAAUGAAGUAAUGUAACGCCCAAAAGUAUCACCGUAGUUUGCAAGAUUACACAAUCUAAGGUGCUACACAGAAAAGUCAUCGUGCACCUGACUUCAGGAACAGCGCGAUCGUGUGUUUUAUAUUUCCAAUCGAGGCUGAGAUCAAGUAAUGUACCAUCCAAAGGUAUCACCGUAGUUUGCAAGAUCUCGAACACAAAAAUGUUGGAUAGAGAUAGCCAUUUCAAAUACAUUCAACAAGUCACUGAAACUCUCAGGUAAAAAUCUUUCCGUUGAAUAAAAUGAACUUGCCAAGUACAACUCAAACAGUACAAAGUAUGUUUUACUUUUUAUAUCUGAUAUUGGAAGUAAAAUUGCUUUAAUAAAACAAUGCUAUAAUGGUAAAAUAGGCUAUAACUUUUAAUAAUUAUUUGAAUGGCGAAACAUGUAAAACAUACAAAUGAAAAUAAAAUUUGUUGUAACUUUGGAAUAGGUACAUAAGUUGUAGUUUUAUGAUUUAUAUUUAUUUGUAUGCACAUUUUAUUGUUCCUUUUGUACAUAGGCCAACAUACCAAAUUUGAAAAAGUAAUUAUUUGUAUAGCUGAGUUUGGAUUUCUUUUAAAACCGAGUUUUAUUUUUCUUAUAUUUGGUAUUUGUGUAGUGUUCCACAUAACAAUGCGCAAUUUAAAAAAAUAACUUAAAGGAA